GACGAACGCUGGCGGCGUGCUUAACACAUGCAAGUCGAACGGUGAAGGGACCGGUUUUUGCUGGUUCUGGAUGAGUGGCGAACGGGUGAGUAACACGUGAGUAACCUGCCCCCUUCUUCUGGAUAACCGCAUGAAAGUGUGGCUAAUACGGGAUAUUCUGCGCCUGCUGCAUGGUGGGUGUGGGAAGGAUAUUGUUUCGGUGGGGGAUGGGCUCGCGGCCUAUCAGCUUGUUGGUGGGGUGAUGGCCUACCAAGGCGGUGACGGGUAGCCGGCCUGAGAGGGUGGACGGUCACACUGGGACUGAGACACGGCCCAGACUCCUACGGGAGGCAGCAGUGGGGAAUAUUGCACAAUGGGCGCAAGCCUGAUGCAGCGACGCCGCGUGAGGGAUGGAGGCCUGCGGGUUGUAAACCUCUUUCGCCAGUGAAGCAGGCCUGUCCCUUUUGUGGGUGGGUUGACGGUAGCUGGAUAAGAAGCGCCGGCUAACUACGUG
rnacentral:rRNA from 1 species